CUGUGGACACGUCAAACCACUUUCUCCUUCAACCUCUUCCUCCUCUUUGCAUAAUUUUUGUGUCUUUGAAGGUUUUUUCUUCCUCCCUUCUGUUUUUCUUGUCUAUACACUAAAACAACUUCAAAAUUUUUUUUUCCUUGAAUUUUACACUUUAAACGACUGAUCAUGAACAAUAUGCAUUUCACAACAGGUCUCAGAGGAAAGAAAAAAACUCAGUGGAUUAUUGGCUUUUUUGCAGAAGAGGAUUAGCAUGAAGAGGAUUGCCAUGAAGAGGAUUAGCAACCUCACAGUCAUGAGAUUGUAAGACUACACCAGAAACAGCUGACUCAAAAUGCCUCUGAAUAGUUUAUCCUACUCCUGUCCUAAAUAGAUGACAUUUGUGUGAAGAUGAGUUACCUUGGCUAUGUGUUCCAGCCAUCUGCCGAGCGCAAUGAACACAAACAACAUGGGAGGAGUGUCGAAGAAAGUGACGGGGCUUUUCUCUGCCUUUUCAAGGAUUGCUACGAGCAGGAUCACGCAGGAAUACACAUAAGCAAUCGUCGUGGCCAGUACGAUGAGCACAUCCAUGUUGGCCGUCUUGUGCCUCAGGGACUUGUAAGCUUGCACGUAAAAAUACCAUCCACCAAGGAACUGUCGGUGUGAGCAGGGACAGACUCACAUUGAGAUCAGCAACCACAGAGUACAUAAUACUGCCCAGAGCAGAAUUAAAACCAUGCAGGACAUAAGGGAAGGCAUCGCUGACCCCAGCAAAUUUGAUACAAUUUCAGGUCUUUAGGAGACUGACUCCAUUGACAUCCUCUCAUUCAUGCUUCCUAGUUCUCAAAACCAGCAAAUAUCAUCCUUUUCCUCAGCAAUGCAAAGUAAACAAGGCAUAGAAAAUGAAAGGAUUUACCCACAGCUACCCAAUUAGUUUACAGAUGAUCAGUGUUUUUCCAUAGUCACAACAGCAAAGUUUUUACAGAGACCCAGCCACACUGAGUCUCCCUUCAGCAAUGAGAGGAACUCUCAUUGCAAGAUUUACACAGGGAAGGAGGCUUCAGCUCGCAACCAGGAGGAGAAUCAACGUUGGACAAAGCCUAAGGAGAAAGGGGAAAAGUAAAAAUAAAUGCACGUAUCCUUAGCCCUGUAAAAGCAACAACAGUCUUCAUAUGCUCUCAAGCACAUACUAGAAGUGCUCUCAAGUUAGUCUGUAUGGCCAAAACCCUUUUCAACAUUGUUUUACUCUUUGAAUAUAUUACCAGUGAGUUAUGCCCAUGAUGAUGAAUCAGGCUUCUGACAGUCUCUUGAGCAGCAAUUUAGAAAAUACUGACUAGGGAUAUAAAAGCAGAAUUGACUCAAUACUCCUACCCCAACCAAAUAAUUUUAAACUUGAGUUCUCUGCAGCCACAGGACACUUCCAUCACACAGCCUGAGCUGCUCUUCAGAGCACACUGUCACUGGCACAGUGGGUCACAGUAGAGAGUGUGCUGACUGCCUUUCCAAAAAGGUCAUAAACUGGCCCAGUUUGGCUACUUCCCAGGAGGAGUUCAAACCAAAACAAAGAAAACCAAAAAGCCAAAUAAAACAGAAUCACGACUUUUCCAGAAGCCUGAAACAAGUUGGUGCAGGGAGGGUCAGCUGCAUGAUAUUUGAAGAGCUAUUUGCACACACACAAAGGCCUGGGCUCUCUGCAUUUAAUAUAUAAUCCUUUGAACCUGAAAUCUGUAUCUAACAAAGACCUUGAAAUACAGAGAACUGUAACCAGAUAUUUUCACUACAGUUUAAUUUUAUUUACCUACUUGUGAGGCACCUAAGACUAUAAAUUGUGCUACAGUAACUCACUGAUUUCAUCCAACACUGAUUUUCAGGAUGGCCAGUACUGAAAUAGUUCACUUCUGGCUGGCCUAUCUCUCAGUCAGACCACAGCCUCUGCAAUACUGGAACUCUACAGCUGAAUGCACUCAAUUCAACUGAAAAUGAAUUUUUUCUUUUUUUUUAAAUUGCCAAUGCUUCUUACAGAACAAGUACUGAGAGCUCCAGUUGCUGGAGCCAUGUGAUGAGAAAGAUUGAAAAGGGCAGGGACAAGCCCUAGAUGGUCAGAUUUCAUGGAAAGAACCUGAAAAUUCAUGUUCAUGAUUUAAGGCAACUUUAAAUACUAGAGAUCUAGAUAAAAGCUACUGGGACAAAUCAAUUCUCUUGCCUGCAAAGCCUUGGGCUCUCUGACAUUCCAUAAAACACCUGAUGCUGGGCAUUACUGCAGGGAGAGCCUGGAGAAGGGCCCACUGGAUCACCCCCAGUGUUGCGGAUCCUGUUCCUACGACCCACAAGAAAACUUCUUUCGCAAUACCACAGCAUGGAUGAGAAGCAUUUAGGCUGCUUAGUAACACUAGACUGCAUCCAGUUCAUUUGAUGCAGUAUUCAAAAUUCAUUAACUUGAUUUUGUUUCACGCUUAGACAGCUUGGGAAUAAUGAGAUCUGGGGCCACAUAAACAGCAAAACCUUAAGACCUUGCUUUCAGACUUUUCUAUACUGUAUUUGUUAGAACAGGAGGAGGAAUGAGCAAAUUCAACUCUUCAAGAUUAUGGUGCAGCCCCUCAGCUAUCCUGACAGUAAACUCUCUCUCCUGCUCCCCCUCUUCUGCUUGGCCUCAUGGCUGCACUCCAGGGAUGCUGGAGAAGAAGAGUCAGAGGAAUAUUUUAGUCCUGGCAUCUCCUUUUGCCUCUUCCUCCCAUCGGCCUGGAAGCACCCAGGACACUGCUCUCCUUGCGCUUCCCCUCCCAUAAGUUUGUGAAAUCCCCAGCAUAUAUGGAAAUGUGCCACAAGCACCUCCUUUCAAAACAAAGCAUUAACAGUUAAUCAGAUUUUCCUGCAAAGGUGGUGCCCUGUUUAAGCACCACACAAAGACAACCAGGACACUCCCAUUCCUGUGUCCUCCUAUUGUUGUGACUUCCCACAAUUUGAAAUAAUAACCUGGCCUUGUGUAUGGGAAAAAAAACCCUUGUGAAAACAGUCUCCCAGCCACCACAUUUCAAAUGUGGCCUAAACUCAAACUAGCAUUGAUUGUAAAUUAUGCCUGAAGAAGCGUUAGGUGAAUAUUGUCUGCCAUCCUCUUCCCUGUCCCCAGUCCCCCAAGGACACUGCUCACAGUGGCCUGCUCUUAUCAAAAACACCCAGUGCAAUCUGUGUGGCAGUCACAGAAGCUCACCCUGUGCAUGUACUUUGGCUUGCAGGACAAAGGUAUUCUGCCUUCUGCAUGCUUUGGUGAAACAGAGCACGAAUGGAGGAGACGAGCAUCCUCCACUCUCUGCUUCACUGCCUGUCUGGCCACCACUUGCAGAUGAAACUCAGGAACCAUCACAGGCCCUAUGUCCUCCACUGUGUUCCCUCCUCCAUCAUGCUCACUGUCUCAGUUUUCCAAGGUACCCCGUGACAUAAAAGCAAUUCAAAUUAAUCAUGUAAAAAGAUUAGAGGGUACUUCCCAUUAUGCAGUCUUUUGAAAAACAUAAAAGCAAGGACUGAUUCCACUAUUUCAAUGCAUUGUAAGCCACAGAAACUUCAAAACUUGGACACUGUUUUUUGCUUUGCAUAAAAAGCUAUCCCAACAUUUAGAAGAAUUGGCAAAAAUAUUUUGUUUGCUACUUGUUGAAACCAUAUGCUUAUGCUCUGUAGGAGAAAAAACCUUGCACACAAAUUUUUAAAUGACAAGGAAAAAAUAGAGAGGGGAUGUGGAUAUAAGAAAACUAAAAAGCUUCUUUCCCUUAAAAAAACCCACACAAGUGCCAAAACAUUGAAGAAUCUACCCCCAAAACCAAGAAAUGUGCACAGGUACAAACAGAGUAUUUACAAAGCCUUUAGUGCUGUUUAUAACAGAUUUAAAAAAAAAAAAAAAACAGAAACAGAAUAGGCAGCAAUACAGAACACACAGAAAUGUGUGUAUUUGCAAGAAGGGUAUUUCUACACCAGACAAGAGGAAAACAGCAGAUUCAUGUAAGGACACAGAGAUGAGACAUACAGAAAUGUGUCCAUAGUUUUCCUCAGGCACUGCUGGGUCUCAGAAAUGGAUUUCCUCAUACCGGCUGACACCCACACAUAAAAGGCUAUAUGGUAAUUCAGAGACACUACCUGCAAGAGGAUCAGAGAAGCAAUCCCCACCAAAAAUGCCCAAAAAGCUGUUUGGGAGUCUCAGGCUUUGCCCCUUCUGCUUUUUUUCUGCUCAGACAGAAAUAUGAACAAAAUAAUGGAAAUGCAUCUGCUCUACAUCCAGAAGGGAAUGUGUGAAAGAACUGGCCAUAGUUACUCUUUUGUCUCCACACCAAAGGAGAAUGGUUCACUUUUAAGGGCAGGUAUACAUUAAGUCUCUUUGCUCUACCAGCCUCAUGCAUAUUUUUACAGUAUCUAUGUGAAGAAUAUGCAAAUAAUUACACACAAAAUGAUGCCAAUUCUCUCCCUCCUUUGUUCUGCAUGUAAAAGUUGGAACUGAAAGCACACAGCAGAGCGAGUCUCUACCUGGAAAGUUAAGAAACUGGACACAAAGUUAUGAAAAUCAUAUGGACAAUACAAAAGAAUUGAAGAAAUCUGAGAAAUCAUUGACAAAGAAUCAGUAGUAGAUGGAGACAGCGUUAAAGAAAGCACAAGUACUGGCUGGAAAAUACUUGCAUCUACAGGAGAAGCUCUGAACCAGACCCAAGAUGAGUUGCAAAUGUGCAGGAGUGUGGCACCUGAAGCCCAAGUCUCAGAAUGAGGAUUUCAAAGCAAGAAACAAGGCAUGAAGAGCAACCCUUGAUGUCCCAGACAGGAGCUGUAGCACUCAUGCCUGUCCUGGGGCAAAGCGGGGCUUGGGAACAGCUGGAAGAGGCAGAGGCUCAUGCUCCCCUUUCAGACUGCCUCCAGCCAGCAGGAAGAAGAUCAUCCAAUGGAAAUAUAGCCUGGGGCUGGACUAACUUUUUGUGAAAGCAUGGAGGUGGAGCAGGGCAGGGUGAUGCUGCUGGAUUGGAAGCACCAAAUCUCAAGCCCUGUUUUGGCACAGAGCUCUUGGCAUCAUAGCAUCCAGAGUUCAUGGCAGGUUCAUUUGGGAAAGGUAGUCCUAGGCCAUGGUCUGUAUGGCUGGUGGGGCAAACCCACCCCACUGAGGGCUGCCCUUAGAGGCCCAGCAUCAUGCUGACCCAUGGUGCCCCAAAACAGGCUCCUUGUUUUGGAUAUUCCCAUUCAAAUAUGCAAAGGCUGAGAGAUCAAGCAGUGAAGGGAUAUAUAAUAAAUCUGAGAAAAACAACUGAGCUCAGAAAAAAACCCCAAAGACAUGGAAACCAUGGCACUGGGUGAGACCCCCACAUGUGCACACAUGGCGACCCAUGUCUUGAGAAUGGAUGCAGCACCAUAGCUGUGAACACAACAAUAUUUGUGCCUUCCUUGGCUUCACAGCCCCGCCACCACCCACCCCUAGCUGAGUCCCCAUGCCCUCCAUUGAUGUGUUUCAUGGGCACCUCGUGGGGUGGCCUGUCACCAGGAAAGCCAUCCCUCUAUCCAUUUCCCCUUCCCAAGAGGUGCAGCCACCUCCAAAAUGCCAGCAUAACACUCCUGGCUUCUGCAGCACAAGGCUAGGUUGUGACAGGCACACUCCACAGCUCCCUGAGCAUCAACCACACCAAGAUCCAGCACAGUACUGCUCCUCUCUGCCCAUCCAGCAAGGCUCCCCCCCCUUCUCUGGCACUGCUCUCCUGCCCUCCUUUGCGUGGCCUGCAGGGAUGGCAACUUUCACAUCCUAAAACUUGAGCACCAGGCUCCUCAAAGUGAUGCCAGGCAAUCAGUGCCUGGCCCACUCAGCACCUCCUCUGCCUCUCCCUGCCUGCUCCUCCACAAAUGCUGGAGGUCACUGCACCUCACAUCCACUAUGCCCUGAAGUUUUGGUUUGCUCUUUUCCCUGUACCUCUGUGGUCUGAAAUCAGUUAUUGCCCUCUUACCUUUGAGCACACAACUGCUGAAGAAUUAUCUUAUCUGUGUUUUACCUUCUCUACUUCCUUCUUUCACAACUGCCUGAUUCAUGGCUUUGGAUUCAGGCGGCAGCAGCACACAACUGAAAAGCCACACACUAAUAAUUAAACGCUUCAGAAGUUUCCCAGUUUAUUAUAGGCAGACAGUGAACAACAAAAUGAGGGCAGAGAAGCCACAAAAACAUCAAAGGUCACGAGUCUUCAAUUUUUUGCCAGUAACAGCAACACUCUGGCACACAGAGUAGCCAGAAAUUCAAUCCUCAUCCUACUUAGCAUUUUUCAGUGCAUCUCGUUAGAGCAUAUUGUUUAAAUGUAUUAGAUCAUAACCAUUGUUCUUUCUCCCCUCGUCUCCCAAAGGAAGAUUAACAAAUGUCAGUAGCUACUAUAUUCAGUAACUACUUACAACACAAUUUGUUAUUUUUCAAACAGUUCCUGAGUCUUAAACGAGGGAAAAAACACCUUCUAAGCCUGAAUAUCAAGAUUCAAUGAGAUUAUUACUACAAAGCAGCCUUUAUGAGGCUUUUGUUUCCAAAAUACUAAGUUGAUUUACUAAUGCUUCUGCCAAGGGACUACUAUUUCCCGCCUGGGAUCAGGCUUCCCUAACAGUACAGAUGAUAGGGAAAGAUUUAGGCAGCUGAAGCCAGUCUUACUUAAAUGACACCUACACUGUAGUCAACAAACUUCAGAGACCUUAACAGGCACUUUUAAAUUAAAGGGAGCUGUGUAAACCAAGUUUGGUUUAUGAGAAAGGGGAAAAGCUUGCUGUAAACAAAAUGUUCCUAAUUUAGAAUUAAAACAAGACAAACCUCGUUGUGAUGUUCUUCACAGCACCAGUACAAGCAGCAUAUAUAUCCCAGUGAACUGAACACAGAGAAGAGAUCUUUUGGUAGAACAAAGUCAUUUAUGUCAUGACUGUUUUCUAGCAAACAUUUAUAAUACAAGAAGUAACUCGAGGCAGAAAAAGCCUUCAGGUAUAGUUGGUCUCUUCUGGCCGUUAUUUCAUUCCAGUCUGCCACUAUGUGAACCAUUCUAAGCAUACCCAGUUUCAAAGAACAUGAACACACAGAAUCACAGAACAUUAUGAGUUGGAAGGGACCCACAAGUAUCAUGAAGUCCAAUUUUUCAGCUAAUGGCUCAUGCAGGAAUCAAACCUACCACCCAGGCAUUAUUAGUACCAUGCUUCAACCAAGUGAGCUUUGUUCUGACAAUUUUCCUAAAAUGUUCACAAUAUUCACUGACCCAAACUACAUUACUCCAGUGUACAUACAUUUUAAAUAGCAAAAUUCUUUUAAAAAAAUUAACCUUGUCACUUUGCUUUCAGCAAUGAUCUCUUCACCACAGCAGUUAAUAUCCAAAAAUACCACAGUUAUAUACAACACUGAAUUUUAAAAAAAGUUGCACAGAUAUAUUCAUCAAGAGCUUCACUAGCACCCACUUACUAGAUAUAAAUAAACUACUUACCUACAAUAAGGACUUUUUAAUGUUUCUGCAAUUUUUCUUACUCCAAACUAGUAGGAGCUUCUUCAAACUACUGGAGCAAUUGGAGUUCAAAAGGAGAAAUACUAUUAUGUUUCCUUCCUAAGAAUCACCACUCUGUAUUAUUAGAGGUGGAGCUGAAACCAUGCUCAUUAGCUUCUACAGCAUAAGUCAUCAUUAACAACUUGUUUCAAAGAUUAUUUUCAGAGGAUCCCCAGAAGACUUUGCAUAUGUACUGCUUGUUAUGGGACUGGCAUCCAUGCUGGGGAUCAAGACAAUUUAGAUAAAGGUUUAACCUCCUUUAAUAUACAACCCAUGCAACAGCAUGCUUUGUUUUAAAUUCACCAGUUCAGGAACACCACUUCCCUCCCUGCAUGCACACUCUCACACACACACACACUGACCUGCCU